rnacentral:rRNA from 1 species
UACGUAGGGUGCAAGCGUUGUCCGGAAUUAUUGGGCGUAAAGAGCUCGUAGGCGGUUUGUCGCGUCUGCUGUGAAAACCCGAGGCUCAACCUCGGGCCUGCAGUGGGUACGGGCAGACUAGAGUGCGGUAGGGGAGAUUGGAAUUCCUGGUGUAGCGGUGAAAUGCGCAGAUAUCAGGAGGAACACCGGUGGCGAAGGCG